CGAGGAAUAUUGCACACUGGAGGAAACUCUGAUGCAGUAACGCCGCGUGGGGGAAGAAGACCUUCGGGUUGUAAACCUCUUUUUGUAAAGACGAGUGAGGACGGUAUUUAUAGAAUAAGUCUCGGCUAACUACGUGCCAGCAGCCGCGGUAAGACGUAGGAGGCGAGCGUUAUCCGGAUUUACUGGGCGUAAAGCGCAUGUAGGCGGUUCUGUAAGUCCGAUGUUAAAGCCCCCGGCUCAACUGGGGGAGGUCAUUGGAGACUAUAGGACUUGAGGGCAACAGAGGCACGUGGAACUCCCGGUGUAGCGGUGGAAUGCGUAGAGAUCGGGAAGAACACCAGUGGCGAAGGCGACGUGCUGGGUUGCAACUGACGCUGAGAUGCGAAAGUGUGGGGAGCAAAC
rnacentral:rRNA from 1 species